GGGCUGUUGGUCUAGUGGUAUGAUUCUCGCUUUGGGUGCGAGAGGUCCCGGGUUCGAUCCCCGGACAGCCCC
rnacentral:tRNA from 1 species